GGCGGUGUGCCGCGCAACAAUCCGGCGGCUCUACGCCGGUUGCGGGAAAAUCAGGUCAUGUGACUCAGGUCAUGUGACUCCCGCGGGUCGGGAGCCACCAAUCGCUGCGCGCCACGAUUGGCCGGCGGGUCGGCCGUCCGGGCCGCGCGGCGGCGACCCCGCCAUUCGUGCACUGGUUCUGUGUGGUUCGUGACGUGUGCGUCUGCGUGAACGGUUGUGUUCGGUCUGAUGCUGCUGGUGCUGGCGCUGCUGGCUAUCAGCCAAUCGGAAGCCACUGGGUUCGGAUACAGGAGAUACCCGUACUACGGUGGCUACGGACUGGGAUACGGCGGGCUGGGCGGCUUCGGACGCUACAGCAGUUACGGAUACGGCUAUCCGGGCUUCAGCUACUACGGCUGAUCUCUUCUGUAGCUCGCGACGUUGCGUGUCUUGGUGUGCCAGCCAGGGAGGCCAUUGACCUCCGAUGCAAAUGCUGAUGUAAGAUGGUUUUACCCGUAUUUUACUGGCAUUUUUAUGUGGUGGUUUUGGCACCAGAAUUCGAAUAUGGUGGAGGUAAAUCUCUCGCCAGGUAAUGUCAUCUGGCUCCCCCUGCGAUGAGGUGUUUUGAGUAAUGUGUCUUACAUGUAACGUUCAUACCACAAUAUCAAAUACAUUCGUUGGUUACUGAA